GAUGAAGAACGUAGCGAAAUGCGAUAAGUAAUGCGAAUUGCAGAAUCCGUGAGUCAUCGAAUCUUUGAACGCACAUUGCGCCCCUUGGUUAUUCCGAAGGACAUGCCUGUUCGAGCGUCAUUAUCACCCCUCAAGCCCUGGCUUGGUGUUGGACUUUAGUUAUAGCUUUGCCUAUCAACUGGUCUCAAAGAUAGUGACGGCGCCCCAGAGGGAACCGGGUACGAGGAGCUUUUUACUAAGCAUGUAUCUGGGACGACUCUGGGCGACGGUCUUGUUAUACUUUUUACCUAAGUGUUGACCUCGGAUCAGGUAGGAAUACCCGCUGAACUUAAGCAUAUCAAUAAGCGGAGGA
rnacentral:misc_RNA from 1 species